AGCCUCAUGGUGUUUUAGCAUGUCAGGUUGCAAACCUGGAGGGACAAGUAAUACUUGUUAAGGCUU
rnacentral:tRNA from 1 species